AUUGAACGCUGGCGGCAGGCCUAACACAUGCAAGUCGAGCGGAGCGGCGGACGGGUGCGUAAUGCCUAUGAAUCUGACUGGGAGUGGGGGAUAACGUUCGGAAAUGGGCGCUAAUACCGCUUACUCUCAGAUGAGCCUAGGUCGGAUUAGCUAGUUGGUGGGGUAAAGGCCUACCAAGGCGACGAUCCGUAACUGGUCUGAGAGGAUGAUCAGUCACACUGGAACUGAGACACGGUCCAGACUCCUACGGGAGGCAGCAGUGGGGAAUAUUGGACAAUGGGCGAAAGCCUGAUCCAGCCAUGCCGCGUGUGUGAAGAAGGUCUUCGGGUUGUAAAGCACUUUAAGUUAGGAGGCGUUACCAACAGAAUAAGCACCGGCUAACUUCGUGCCAGCAGCCGCGGUAAUUC
rnacentral:rRNA from 1 species